rnacentral:lncRNA from 1 species
AGGGCCAGUUCUUUGAAAGGCACAGUUUACAGUUUCUGCACUAGUUUGGGCUUUUGCAUACUGAGCUUAGGUACAGAUCAUGAUUUGUCAAUCACAUACUUAGUUGGCUACCAUGUAGUACGAAAGACUGGAUGCUUCAGUAGCUCUCUUGAUGGAGGUCUGUCCUGAGGUUGAAGUUCUAAACAACGAAGAGCCACAUCUCGUAAACCAGGAGACAAAUGUG